GAAGCCCGCCAGACUGCCGCUGGUGCAAGCCGCAAGGACGACGCGCAAGCGUCGGGUGGAAACACCGCACUGGAGGAACGUCCGGACUGCAUAGGGCAGCGUAGCAGCUAACGGCUGUCCACUGAAAGCCUGGCCCGCAAGGGGCAGGUAUAAGGUGAGGAUCAGAGCAACAGAGACGAGCCGAUUAAGUUCGGGUGAAACGGGCAAUCUCUACGCGCAGCAAUACCAAGUAGGCACACGUUGACGGGGCCCCCGGAGUGUGCGGGUAGGUAGCACCGAGC
rnacentral:RNase_P_RNA from 1 species